GCCAGAGUGGUACAGUGGUUUGAGUACUGGCCUAGGAUUCUGGAGACAAGGGUUUGAAUCCCCACUUGGCCA